rnacentral:rRNA from 1 species
AAUGCUGGCGGCGUGCCUAACACAUGCAAGUCGAGCGGCAGCGAGUUUUACACUGAAUUCUGGAAGCUUCUGGGUAAUGUAGAAGAUUUAUUCAAGAAUUUUGUGUAAAAUGUCGGCGAGCGGCGGACGGCUGAGUAACGCGUAGGAAUUUGCCCCAAAGUGAGGAAUAACUGCCCGAAAGGGUAGCUAAUGCCGCAUAUGGUCUUCGGAUUAAAGCCUUCGGGCGCUUUGGGAGAAGCCUGCGUUGGAUUAGGUAGUUGGUAGGGUAAUGGCCUACCAAGCCGACGAUCCAUAGCUGGUCUGAGAGGAUGAUCAGCCAGACUGGAACUGAGACACGGUCCAGACUCCUACGGGAGGCAGCAGUGAGGAAUCUUCCACAAUGGGCGAAAGCCUGAUGGAGCAACGCCGCGUGAAGGAUGAAGGCCUUCGGGUUGUAAACUUCUUUUAUGAGUGAAGAAUAUGACGGUAACUCAUGAAUAAGCACCGGCUAACUACGUGCCAGCAGCCGCGGUCAUACGUAGGGUGCAAGCAUUAUCCGGAGUGACUGGGCGUAAAGAGUUGCGUAGGCGGUUUAAUAAGUGAAUAGUGAAACCUGGUGGCUCAACCAUACAGACUAUUAUUCAAACUGUUAAACUCGAGAAUGGUAGAGGUAACUGGAAUUUCUAGUGUAGGAGUGAAAUCCGUAGAUAUUAGAAGGAACACCGAUGGCGUAGGCAGGUUACUGGGCCAUUUCUGACGCUAAGGCACGAAAGCGUGGGGAGCGAACCGGAUUAGAUACCCGGGUAGUCCACGCCGUAAACGAUGGAUACUAGCUGUUGGAGGUAUCGACCCCUUCAGUAGCGAAGCUAACGCGUUAAGUAUCCCGCCUGUGGAGUGCGGCCGCAAGGCUAAAACAUAAAGGAAU